CUGUUUGAUCCUGGCUCAGAACGAACGCUAACGGUAUGCUUUACACAUGCAAGUCGAGCGGUAGUUGCUUUUGCAACGAGAGCGGCGAACGGGUGAGUAACGCGUGAAUGACGUGCCUUUAGGACUGGGAUAGCUUGCUGAAAAGCAAGGUAAUACCGGAUACGCUCGGAUCUUCAUAAAUCCGAGGAAAGUAGGCUUACUACACCUAUAGAUCGGUUUGCGUCCCAUCAGCUAGUUGGUGAGGUAAGGGCUCACCAAGGCUAUGACGGGUAGCUAGUCUGAGAGGAUGAUUAGCCACACUGGAACUGAGACACGGUCCAGACUUCUACGGGAGGCAGCAGUGGGGAAUAUUGGUCAAUGGGCGAAAGCCUGAACCAGCAAUACCGUGUGAGUGAUAAAGGCCUUCGGGUUGUAAAGCUCUGUCAGGGGGAAAGAAAAAACUUAAGUAACUUUAAGUCUUGACGGUACCCCCAAAGGAAGCACCGGCUAACUCUGUGCCAGCAGCCGCGGUAAUACAGGGGGUGCAAGCGUUGUUCGGAUUUACUGGGCGUAAAGAGCGUGUAGGCUGUUUAUUAAGUCAGCUGUGAAAGCCCUUAGCUCAACUAAGGAAGUGCAGCUGAUACUGGUAAGCUAGAGUAUCGGAGGGGAUGGUGGAAUUUCCGGUGUAGAGGUGAAAUUCGUAGAUAUCGGAAGGAACACCAGUGGCGAAGGCGACCAUCUGGAAGAUUACUGACGCUGAGACGCGAAAGCAUGGGGAGCAAACAGGAUUAGAUACCCUGGUAGUCCAUGCCGUAAACGAUGUCUACUAGCCGUUGGGGCCUUUGAGGCUUUAGUGGCGCAGCUAACGCGAUAAGUAGACCGCCUGGGGAGUACGGUCGCAAGACUAAAACUCAAAUGAAUUGACGGGGGCCCGCACAAGCGGUGGAGCAUGUGGUUUAAUUCGAUGCAACGCGAAGA
rnacentral:rRNA from 1 species